AACGAACGCUGGCGGCAGGCCUAACACAUGCAAGUCGAGCGGACCCUUCGGGGUUAGCGGCGGACGGGUGAGUAACGCGUGGGAAUAUGCCCUUCUCUACGGAAUAGUCCUGGGAAACUGGGGGUAAUACCGUAUACGCCCUUUGGGGGAAAGAUUUAUCGGGGAAGGAUUAGCCCGCGUUGGAUUAGGUAGUUGGUGGGGUAAUGGCCUACCAAGCCGACGAUCCAUAGCUGGUUUAAGAGGAUGAUCAGCCACACUGGGACUGAGACACGGCCCAGACUCCUACGGGAGGCAGCAGUGGGGAAUCUUAGACAAUGGGGGCAACCCUGAUCUAGCCAUGCCGCGUGAGUGAUGAAGGCCUUAGGGUUGUAAAGCUCUUUCAGCUGGGAAGAUAAUGACGGUACCAGCAGAAGAAGCCCCGGCUAACUCCGUG
rnacentral:rRNA from 1 species